rnacentral:rRNA from 1 species
AUUGAACGCUGGCGGCAUGCCUUACACAUGCAAGUCGAACGGUAACAGGUCUUCGGAUGCUGACGAGUGGCGAACGGGUGAGUAAUACAUCGGAACGUGCCUAGUAGUGGGGGAUAACUACUCGAAAGAGUGGCUAAUACCGCAUGAGAUCUACGGAGGAAAGCAGGGGAUCGCAGGACCUUGCUCUACUAGAGCGGCCGAUGGCAGAUUAGGUAGUUGGUGGGAUAAAAGCUUACCAAGCCGACGAUCUGUAGCUGGUCUGAGAGGACGAUCAGCCACACUGGGACUGAGACACGGCCCAGACUCCUACGGGAGGCAGCAGUGGGGAAUUUUGGACAAUGGGCGCAAGCCUGAUCCAGCAAUGCCGCGUGCAGGAUGAAGGCCUUCGGGUUGUAAACUGCUUUUGUACGGAACGAAAAGCCCCGGGUUAAUACCCUGGGGUCAUGACGGUACCGUAAGAAUAAGCACCGGCUAACUACGUGCCAGCCGCCGCGGUAA